AAGAUGGGAAUAUUGAGAGUAGAAGACAGAAGAAAAGAGCUCCAGAGACGAACUUGAGAGACAUGAUUCUUUGGAGUUACACAAGUAACGAAGAGAUCUGAUAAGAAUCAGAAAGACGACUUGGUGGAAGACGAGAUAUGCCGCACCACGAAGAUAGAGAGGCUGAAAACUAAAACGUAUUAAAAUAAAUAAAU